rnacentral:rRNA from 1 species
AUUGAACGCUGGCGGCAUGCUUUACACAUGCAAGUCGAACGGUAACAGGCCUUCGGGUGCUGACGAGUGGCGAACGGGUGAGUAAUGCAUCGGAACGUACCCAGAGGUGGGGGAUAACGCAGCGAAAGCUGUGCUAAUACCGCAUGUGAUCUGAGGAUGAAAGCGGGGGACCGAGCAGCAAUGUUGGGCCUCGCGCCUUUGGAGCGGCCGAUGUCGGAUUAGCUAGUUGGUGGGGUAAAGGCCUACCAAGGCGACGAUCCGUAGCUGGUCUGAGAGGACGACCAGCCACACUGGGACUGAGACACGGCCCAGACUCCUACGGGAGGCAGCAGUGGGGAAUUUUGGACAAUGGGCGAAAGCCUGAUCCAGCAAUGCCGCGUGCGGGAAGAAGGCCUUCGGGUUGUAAACCGCUUUUGGCAGGAACGAAACGGUGUCCGCUAAACCCGGGCGCUAAUGACGGUACCUGCAGAAUAAGCACCGGCUAACUACGUG